AUUGAACGCUGGCGGUAUGCUUAACACAUGCAAGUCGAACGGUAACAGCAAGAGCUUGCUCUUGGCUGACGAGUGGCGGACGGGUGAGUAACGCGUAGGGAUCUACCUUCUGGUGGGGGAUAGCCCGGAGAAAUCCGGAUUAAUACCGCAUAAGACCUAAGGGUGAAAAGGGGCCAAUUCUUGAAAGCUCUUGCCGGAAGAUGAACCUGCGUUAGAUUAGCUAGUUGGUGGGGUAAUGGCCUACCAAGGCGACGAUCUAUAGCUGGUCUGAGAGGAUGAUCAGCCACACUGGAACUGAGACACGGUCCAG
rnacentral:rRNA from 1 species